rnacentral:antisense_RNA from 1 species
GCGCGGGUCUCCAGAGCCUGAGCUAGUCAGAAGUAACAGUUGCUACUGCGUCCCCCGGACACUGGGAGAAUCGUUUUCCUUGGGCAGCUGGUUCCAGACCCCCACCAGUCCUCUAGACUCCAGGCCAAUCAGUUGCUAAGGGACGUUCCUCUCUCAACCUGCACUUAUCAACAUUUUAAACUAUAAAUUCGUCUGCAUUUCUUCAUCGUCUAUCUAUGUGGACCAUGACUCCACAGAGGCAGGAUGGAUGUCGCCCCAGCUGCCUUCUGGCUGACCAGGUGACUGACGUGGUGAGGCUGAGGAACGCUGGCUCCUGGCGAACUCCCUGACUAUGCUUAAUCUCACCGCCUGACUGUUCAGAUUUAGCCUCUGUCUGACCAAAGGGCUCUCAGGGGCCUCACUGGCACGAGAGCCGCCCUGGUGGCCUAACAGACCUGCGGCUGCCCCAUGGCCCAAGGAUCCGCUGACUGACGCUGACUGGAAGCCCAGUUAGUGCAGGUUCAAUGAAGGAACACAACAACCGCCAACAACUGCCAGGGACCCAAC